AUUGAACGCUGGCGGCAGGCCUAACACAUGCAAGUCGAGCGAGCGGCGGACGGGUGAGUAAUGUAUGGGGACUGCCCGAUAGAGGGGGCUAAAUACUGGAAACGGUAGCUCAUACCGCAUACUAUCGGAUAACCCAUAUGGGAUUAGCUAGUAGGUGAGGUAAUGGCUCAACUAGGCGACGAUCCCUAGCCGGUCUGAGAGGAUGAUCAGCCACAAUGGGACUGAGCCACGGCCCAGACUCCUACGGAGGCAGCAGUGGGGAAGAUUGCACAAUGGGGGCAAGCCUGAUGCAGCCAUGCCGCGUGUAUGAAGAAGGCCCUAGGGUUGUAAAGUACUUUAAGUCGGGAGGCGUUACCGACAGAAGAAGCACCGGCUAACUCCGUGCCAGCAGCCGCGGUAAUUC
rnacentral:rRNA from 1 species